CCGAAAAGAUCGCGCUCUUAUGCGUGGGAGCACUUUGACCUGAUCAACCCCAAGAGGGCCAAGUAUCUUAUCUGUGCUCAGGGGCUGACGUUCAGCAACGACACAUCAUCAAUGCUGCGACACCUGCGCACCAAACACUCAGAAACGACAUCCAAUACAGCUGCUGCUGCUACUGCUGUUUCUUGGGGUGCGGAGACCAGACAAGGUCGACAAGCUGAGUUGGACAAGGCACUAGUUGACAUGGUUGUGCUUGACACUCAACCAUUGGAGGACAAAGGCUUCAGGGCCCUCGUACAGAAGCUGGACCCAACCUACAUCCUGCCCACUUGCCAGGCCUGACAAGCUAUGGUGGAGCAAAGUCAUGCAAGGACUGGCUGCUGUGAUUCAACAACGAGAGGAGCCUAUUAAUGACAGGGAGGAAUCCUCAGUGAUAAGUCAUGCAAGGACUGGCUGCUGUGAUACAACAACUAGAGGAGCCUGUUAAUGACAGGGAGGAACCCUCAGUGAUAAGUCAUGCAAGGACUGGCUGCUGUGAUACAACAACUAGAGGAGCCUGUUAAUGACAGGGAGGAACCCUCAGUGAUAGUAAGUUUGCAGUGAAUGAGAUGCAGUUUUCAG